AUUGAACGCUGGCGGAAUGCUUUACACAUGCAAGUCGAACGGCAGCACGGGGCAACCUGGUGGCGAGUGGCGAACGGGUGAGUAAUACAUCGGAACGUGCCCAAUCGUGGGGGAUAACGUAGCGAAAGUUACGCUAAUACCGCAUACGAUCUACGGAUGAAAGCGGGGGAUCGCAAGACCUCGCGCGAUUGGAGCGGCCGAUGGCAGAUUAGGUAGUUGGUGGGGUAAAGGCCUACCAAGCCUGCGAUCUGUAGCUGGUCUGAGAGGACGACCAGCCACACUGGGACUGAGACACGGCCCAGACUCCUACGGGAGGCAGCAGUGGGGAAUUUUGGACAAUGGGCGCAAGCCUGAUCCAGCCAUACCGCGUGCGGGAAGAAGGCCU
rnacentral:rRNA from 1 species